UGGGAAACUUGAGUGCAGAAGAGGAGAGUGGAAUUCCACGUGUAGCGGUGAAAUGCUAAGAGAUGUGGAGGAACACCAGUGGCGAAGGCGACUCUCUGGUCUGUAACUGACGCUGAGGAGCGAAAGCGUGGGGAGCGAACAGGAUUAGAUACCCUGGUAGUCCACGCCGUAAACGAUGAGUGCUAAGUGUUAGGGGGUUUCCGCCCCUUAGUGCUGCAGCUAACGCAUUAAGCACUCCGCCUGGGGAGUACGGUCGCAAGACUGAAACUCAAAGGAAUUGACGGGGGCCCGCACAAGCGGUGGAGCAUGUGGUUUAAUUCGAAGCAACGCGAAGAACCUUACCAGGUCUUGACAUCCUCUGACAACCCUAGAGAUAGGGCUUUCCCUUCGGGGACAGAGUGACAGGUGGUGCAUGGUUGUCGUCAGCUCGUGUCGUGAGAUGUUGGGUUAAGUCCCGCAACGAGCGCAACCCUUGAUCUUAGUUGCCAGCAUUCAGUUGGGCACUCUAAGGUGACUGCCGGUGACAAACCGGAGGAAGGUGGGGAUGACGUCAAAUCAUCAUGCCCCUUAUGACCUGGGCUACACACGUGCUACAAUGGACAGAACAAAGGGCUGCAAGACCGCAAGGUUUAGCCAAUCCCAUAAAUCUGUUCUCAGUUCGGAUCGCAGUCUGCAACUCGACUGCGUGAAGCUGGAAUCGCUAGUAAUCGCGGAUCACAUGCCCGGGGGGGAAAUACGUUUCCCGGGGCCU
rnacentral:rRNA from 1 species